rnacentral:rRNA from 1 species
GACGAACCGUGCGAACGUUGUUCGGAAUCACUGGGCUUAAAGGGCGCGUAGGCGGUUUAUCAAGUCGGGGGUGAAAUCCUGCAGCUCAACUGUAGAAGUGCCUUCGAUACUGAUGAACUAGAGGGAGAUAGGGGCAGAUGGAACUUCCAGUGGAGCGGUGAAAUGUGUUGAUAUUGGAAGGAACGCCGGUGGCGAAAGCGAUCUGCUGGGUCUCUACUGACGCUGAGGCGCGAAAGCUAGGGGAGCGAAAGGG